CCUCCGAUAGCUCAAUGGUAGAGCGCCGGUGUACUUUCUUUUCAUCCCGACAUGCGAUGCUGGAGACGUUGGUUCGAGCCCAACUCGGAGGA
rfam:Stereum hirsutum FP-91666 SS1 unplaced genomic scaffold STEHIscaffold_2, whole genome shotgun sequence.